AAAGACGUGAAAUAUGAAAUUCAUAAAAAGACGGUUUAAAAAGUGACUACAAAUUAUGGCAUACGCAUAUUUGUUAGUGACUGCCAUGCUAGCUUUCGGUGCCUACUGGACCACAAAGUACUUCUUGAAACCUAAGGCCUCCGAGGAGUCUACCUUCGCACCCACCGAGGGUGACACGACUGCUGUCUACCUUUUCUGAAGAAUUUAAUUAGACGCUCUUCUGACCGGAGCUAUAAUGGUGACCAUAUUCCUGGGGGGCCGGUACCUGCUGGAGAUGGAUCGCAAGAACAACGCCGUCCCCAUCACCAACCUCACGGGACUAGAGGAAGACAAAAUACUGAAGCUGAUGACAGGAAGAGGGAUAUAUGGAUGAACUAUAGACACACUCUUACCCAAAGAAUACCUACGAGUUAAUUAAUCAAUUAAGUACUAAUUAUCUUUAUUAUCAUGUAUUUAGUUCUUUAAA